CGCAAAUUCUUGCUUUGGUCGGGAGGAAAUAUCGAGCCCUCUUCUGGAAGCCUCGAUGCACCUCCGCUUCCGACCUCCGUCGCCCGAUGGCCGCUUCGCCCCCCUCACCUAUUCACGCCAUUGCUGCCGCCUCUCGUCCCUUGACCGCCUCUUGUCCCAUGGCCGCUCCUCGUGCUGCGGUCUGCCACGCCUGCUGGCGUGGCCCAUUUCCAUGGCAUUCCGCCCCUCUUGGCGCCAUGUUCUUUGAGCUUACUGCCGCGCCGGUCGCUCGCGGCGCUCGCUAGCGACCGCCGCUACAGAUCAUCGACUAGCCACUGGUCAGUUGUCUCCCACGGCUGCUGCGCCACCAUCCGUCGUCCGCUGCGCUGGCACGCGUGCGACUACCAGCGCUGAGCGCCUCCUCCGCGUGGUCCCACCGUUGGGUGGCAGCUGCACUUGGCCAAACCAAAUGCUUGGAUGGGUGGCGCCGCCGGCUACUGCCACCAGUGAAUCUAGCGCCUCCGGCACGUGCCCUCAACCCAUAGGCCAUCGGAUGACCUCGAGCGACUCUUCAUUGCCUCCCACCGCUACUUCCUCGUGGGAGUCGUGGGCGCUGGAGCGGCACUGUAAGGGCGCAGAGAUCGACCUCGCCAUGGCUCUCAGCCCUCUCCAUCCCCUUCCUCAAGCGUGUCGUCAUCGUCAUUUCGCUAGAUCUGCUGCUUCCUCUCCCCGGAGAAUGGCUGCCUCGAUUGGGUGGAAUUGUUGGACUAGAGGCAGGGACUCGCUACUAUGUAUACCAUGCAAGAGAAAGAGAGGAGUUGCCCUCGCAUCGAUGGAGCUGCUGUCUGUGGGAUGCAGACGAGAAGCGUGUGUUUUAAGCGAUGAUUUUAUUGAUACAAAUGGAUAGAACAUGUGGUGGUGUGCGGUCACAAGAGUUCAUUAAGAAACAUGAAUGGUCUUUGGCAGCAUGACAGCAUAUGUUCCUCUAUUAAAAAAAAAUGAGAGAAGUCUGUGAAUUACAUGCAACAGUUCUGGUUAACGCACUCCUCAGUGAGAGAUGUUCAGAGGUCAUUGGUAACCGGAAGUGUUAGACGAGCUUAGAAAGCUAAUUUGACCCAGACAUCUGGCCACGGCGUAACGAAGGGAACUCAUCCAAAUUUAAGUGCAUCAUGGUUGUUGCAACGAGCAAUGUCAGAAAGGCCACAGAUCAGUAUUUCACCAACUUUAGUUAAUGAGCUUCUCUUUGCUAAUUUUCAGUCAAUGCAGGUAACUUGAAUUAUUUAUAGGAUAUACCAUUAUGUCACUUUUUAUUUAUCUUAUGAAUUGUAUUUUGUUUAACAUCAGAAACUUGGGGAUUCAGUACUUCGGCAAUUUCUCCAGGUUACUACUUAAGGCAUUAACUAAGAACCAGAACCUUAGCAUUGUUACAUCCAUAUUUACGAAACUGUGCAUAUGCAGGAUGUAAUAAUGCUCACUCAGCCACAAAUUUUGCCUUCUAUGUUUAAGUAGGUAGACUUUUGAAAACUUGCUUGUUUUCCUUUUCACACACUAAGUUUCACUUCAUAGAAGCUACAUUACCUUUGCAAAGCUAUCAUUAGGGUACCUGGCAAUUGAAGUUCACUAGAAAAUGGGCACGACGUUGCCGCGCAUGUUGACCCUCGCUUGAUAAAAUUAUGGGCAUAAGCAUUGGUUAGUGUUUGGAGAAAUAGCCAGAUGAUCUCAGAAGCUGAGACAACAAGGGCAUAUCAGAGUAGAAUAAUAGUAUAUAGUUCUAAUGUAAAUAUAAGCUUGAUGAUGUUGCAAUGGAGUGAUUUAUCAGCAUGUUGAUGCUGCAAUAAAAGAAUGACAUGGAUUUACAUAAUAUUUGUAGUCGCUUGAGGUAAUAGUUUUUUUUUUUGUAAAAUAUGAUCAGAAUGCUUGUAGCAAUAUUAUGCAAGUAGCUCAUAGUGAUGUUCAUGCAUGUCCUGUAGAAGAUAUAAAGGAUUAGUAAUUUGAAUUUGUUUGUACAUGAGAAGGAAUCAACCUAUUUAAUCUUUAAUCAUUAAUUGUACCAUUUAAAUAGUUGGUGUGGCUGAUAUGGACAUUAAAUAAUUGCCUGUUUUUCUAAUUUUGGAUCUCAAAUAAACAAUUUCCCCGCUACAUGGUCUUUUGAAAGUUUAUUUCGUAUGAGUACAAAUUUCACAGGAUACAAAAUAAUACAAAUGAAAUAGAGCAGAUAGAACAAUCAUGGAAUAAGAAAUAAGAAAACAUUUUGACUGUAGAUUUCAACCUGCACAAUGUUUUCACUUGUGCUAUUGUGAUGAAAUACCAGCCAUGGGGUUUCAAAAACAACAGCAUGCAAUGCACAUAAUUAACUCAUAAAAAAAACAUGGCAUCUGGCUUUCCUUGCUCUUAUUAUUAAUAUAUUAGCCAACAAUGCCUAAAAUCACUUCCAAAUCACCAGGAAAAGAGUGGUAUUAGGAUGUCUCUGUAGUAGACUUUCCUGUAUAUUGUAUACCACAUAGCUGUUGUACUUGAAUAUUGCAACCUUUCUUAUGGUCAAGUAACUUACCAUCUUGCUUAUUUCGACUAUCCUUACAAGUGCCUCACAAGUGAAAACAUUGUGCAGGUUGAAAUCUACAGUCAAAAUGCUUUGAUAGAAGGCAGUGAACAGUGUGUAAAUAAGUAGUAAAUUGUAUUUCUGACAAUUUUCUGGAGCACAAAAUGCUUUGAUAGAAGGUAGUGAACAGUGUGUAAAUAAGUAGUACACUGUAUUUCUGACAAUUUUCUGGAGCACAAAGCAGCUUGACUGCAUAUUUGAAGUUUUAUUUAAAAUGACAUGACUUUAUCACUAUGAAAAAUGUAUUAACACUUUCAUUUCAAUUGGAAUUACAAGAGGUUAGAUAAGACAAUUCAACUAUUUUCAUGUGCUAUCAUGUCCUAGUUUAUCCACUAAAGUCGAUGACCGGCCAAGAUAUUGCAUAGGAACUGGAUAGGACAUGAUGUUAGCAUAUAUUCUAAUCUUGACAGCUUUCCUCUUCAAUCCUAAUCAGACAUGAUUGCCACUUAAAUUGACAUAAUGUAAUCAUAUUCGUUAAUGAUGUCUACAAUAAUUUGAAAAGAACUAUAAAUUAUCUUUCAAUCCAAAUAGAGUUUACAGGAUUUGAAUCAUUAGUGAAUACUGUAACAUGGUAGGAAAUUCAUGAGCCUGCCUAAAAUCCUACCUGUCAGCUCUCAACAGCAUUGCUCUAGAUUUUGUUGAAUCUGUUUCCACAUCAAGAUUGCUAUUGUUUCCAAAUCUUUUUGUAGGUGUUUAGAUCUUGGUGGAUUCCAGCAGUAGAUUCAAAACUAAAGCUAAAGGCACAAGACGAGAGGGCAUUUCACAGCUCUACUUGGAGAUUAGUAGAUGCUAUGCCAUUGUAUCAAUAUUAACAACACUAAUUGAGUGUAAUUACUUAUUUGCAUGUAGCAUCACAAAUACAUAAACAUGACAAAUGAACUUGUACAGCAGUUGAUAGCAUUGUUCUUAAUAUCUAAACAAAUAUCUGUGUUUCGUUAA